UACGGAGGAUCCAAGCGUUAUCCGGAUUUAUUGGGUUUAAAGGGUGCGUAGGCGGCUUUUUAAGUCAGUGGUGAAAGACAACAGCUCAACUGUUGCAGUGCCAUUGAUACUGAAGAGCUUGAGUACAGAUGAGGUAGGCGGAAUUUAUGGUGUAGCGGUGAAAUGCAUAGAUCCCAUAAAGAACACCUAUUGCGAAGGCAGCUUACUAAGCUGUAACUGACGCUGAGGCACGAAAGCCAGGGGAGCGAACGGG
rnacentral:rRNA from 1 species